UACAGAGACUGCAAGCGUUAUUCGGAUUCACCGGGCGUAAAGGGUGCGCAGGCGGCCGUAUGUGUGAGGCGUGAAAGCCCGGGGCUUAACCCCGGAAUUGCCACCUCAAACUAUACGGCUAGAGCAUUGGAGAGGGUAGCAGAAUUCAUGGUGUAGCAGUGAAAUGCGUAGAUAUCAUGAGGAAUACCAGAGGCGAAGGCGGCUACCUGGACAAUUGCUGACGCUCAGGCACGAAAGCGUGGG
rnacentral:rRNA from 1 species